rnacentral:rRNA from 1 species
UGGGGAAUAUUGGACAAUGGGCGAAAGCCUGAUCCAGCCAUGCCGCGUGUGUGAAGAAGGCCUUUUGGUUGUAAAGCACUUUAAGCGAGGAGGAGGCUACUGAGAUUAAUACUCUUGGAUAGUGGACGUUACUCGCAGAAUAAGCACCGGCUAACUCUGUGCCAGCAGCCGCGGUAAUACAGAGGGUGCGAGCGUUAAUCGGAUUUACUGGGCGUAAAGCGUGCGUAGGCGGCUUCUUAAGUCGGAUGUGAAAUCCCUGAGCUUAACUUAGGAAUUGCUUUCGAUACUGGGAAGCUAGGGUAUGGGAGAGGAUGGUAGAAUUCCAGGUGGAGCGGUGAAAUGCGUAAAGAUCUGGAGGAAUACCGAUGGCGAAGGCAGCCAUCUGGCCUAAUACUGACGCUGAGGUACGAAAACAUGGGGAGCAAACAGG